CCUACGGGAGGCUGCAGUGGGGAAUAUUGCGCAAUGGGGGAAACCCUGACGCAGCAACGCCGCGUGAAGGAAGAAGGCCUUCGGGUCGUAAACUUUUGUCUUUAGGGAAGAAUGAUGACGGUACCUAAGGAGGAAGCCACGGCUAACUACGUGCCAGCAGCCGCGGUAAUACGUAGGGGGCAAGCGUUAUCCGGAAUCACUGGGUGUAAAGGGUGCGUAGGCGGUAGGGCAAGUCAGAUGUGAAAGCCCGGAGCUCAACUCCGGGAUUGCAUUUGAAACUGUCUUACUAGAGUGCAGGAGAGGAAAGCGGAAUUCCUAGUGUAGCGGUGAAAUGCGUAGAUAUUAGGAAGAACACCAGUGGCGAAGGCGGCUCUCUGGACUGUAACUGACGCUGAGGCACGAAAGCGUGGGGAGCGAACAGGAUUAGAUACCCGUGUAGUC
rnacentral:rRNA from 1 species